rnacentral:rRNA from 1 species
UACGAAGGGGGCUAGCGUUGCUCGGAAUUACUGGGCGUAAAGGGCGCGUAGGCGGCACUGUUAGUCAGGCGUGAAAGUCCUGGGCUCAACCUGGGAACUGCGCUUGAUACGGCAGAGCUAGAGGAUGGAAGAGGGUCGCGGAAUUCCCAGUGUAGAGGUGAAAUUCGUAGAUAUUGGGAAGAACACCGGUGGCGAAGGCGGCGAUCUGGGAAGAUACUGACGCUGAGGUGCGAAAGCGUGGGGAGCGAACAGG